AGAAUCUCUGUAUCCCUUCAAUUUAAUGUCCUGCUCCCCUGAUUUCUGCAUACCCACUAAGUGCUUGUUUGCAUCAAACAUUUGGUGAGUGUGUUGUGAAUUUAAGUAAAAGAACUGAAAGUCACUUUGUGUACAUUACAGCUUCCUGCCCUUCCUCUGGCCUCACCUCCUCCUUUGUCAUCUAUCUUCCUGGCUUGUGCAGAGAGGACCCUAGCAUGGAAGAGCUUCAUAAACAAGACCUCGCUGCCCUUGGACUUCUACUUCUGUUGAUGUUACUGGCCACACACUCCCAGCCUGGAUGGCUAUACUCAAAGCCUGCCAAGGAUGGGCAGCUUUAGAAGGGAAGCUGAGAUAAGUUUUCUGUCUUUACUGAAAUGUGAAGACGUCCAGCCCAGAUAAGAUUUGCCUCUGUGUGGUCUAAUUGGUAUAGCCCCAGAACCUCAUGAGCAAGUAAUCUAAAUCUCGUUCAUUUAAACAAUGUGAAUAUAUAUCAUCUCAAUGACCAGUGAGUGUCAACUUCCUCCAUCCUUAUUCUGGUUCACUAUAUAAGAAACUUGCAUUUGGGAAAUGUGGAACAGAGUAACUGUUUCUGUGGUCCACCUCUGGCUUCUCCCAGAUGAUCUAUCCAAUUAGAGUAUUUCACUCGACUGUAAAUUUUCAGCAAA
rnacentral:lncRNA from 1 species